rnacentral:ncRNA from 1 species
AAUUAGAUUGAUUCUGUUUAAUUAAAUUAAUUUUAAAAAUAGUAUUAUAUAUAAAUUUUUGUGUGUUGAUUAAUUAAUCUUAAUGAUUAUAUUAAUAUUAUAUUAUUAAUUUGUAGUUGUUUAUUUUGUAUAUUUUAUCAUUAAAGAUACAGUUAAUUUUUUUAGAAUUGUCAAAAGUUGUGCCAGCAGACGCGGUUAUACAAUUGAUUCGAAUUAAUUUUAUUGGUAUAUAUUUAUUAAUUAUUUUGGGAAUUUAAAUGAUAAUUUUUAAGUGAAAUUUUAAUUUUGUUUAUAUUUUCUUGGUUAAGAUUAUUUGAAAUUUAAAUAGAUAGACUAGGAUUAGAUACCCUAUUAUUUUAAAAGUAAAAUAAACCAUAGUAUUAAUAGUUAAGAUCUUUAAAUUAAAAGAAUUUGGCGGUAAUUUAGUCUUUUCAGAGGAACCUGUUCUAUAAUUGAUAAUCCACGUUGGAUUUUACUUUAAUUAUUUGUUUGUAUAUCUCUGUCAUUGAAUGUUUUAUUAGAAUAUUUUCUUAAAUCAUUAUAUAGAUUAAUGUCAGGUCAAGGUGCAGCUAUAUUAAAGGUUGAAAUGGGUUACAUUUAAUGUUAUUUAUUGGUAUAAUUAUAAUUAUUUGUAAUAAUUUUAUGAAAAAGGAUUUGAAAGUAAUUAAUAUUAAUUAAUAUUAAUGAUUUUAGCUCUAAAUUAUGCACACAUCGCCCGUCGCUCCCAUUAUUAAAAUGAGAUAAGUCGUAACAAAGUAAUUUUACUGGAAAGUGAAGUUAUAAAUAA